CUAACGGCUCUUUUCAGAGCCACCCAUGUUUUCACGAGGAGUAGCU
rfam:Felis catus isolate Cinnamon breed Abyssinian chromosome C1, whole genome shotgun sequence.